GCCUGGGUAGCUCAGUCGGUUAAGUGUCUGAUUUUGGCUCAGGUCAUGAUCUUACCAUUCAUGGGUUUGAGCCCCAUGUCAGGCU
rnacentral:tRNA from 1 species